rnacentral:lncRNA from 1 species
UCACAUUCUCGGCCAUUUAUACAGAAUACACCAUACCAAAUGCUACAUCAGCUUAAGACACUUUUAAAAAUUAGUAUUAAAAAGAUACAAAGGCAUGUUGGCUUUCAUUUGGGUUUUUAUUAAGACAUGGAAGUUUUCUUGGUUUGUUUUCCUACAGAAGUCACUAAAAAAAUAUAAUAACUUAAUUCAUAAGGACAAGAUUGGUUAAAAAUCCAGCCUUCCUUGCUUGGCAGCCUUCUGAGCUCGUACCUCUGUUGCUUCCAUGAGUCUAACAGCACCGCAGGCUGCAGAUGUGUCCUGCAGGGUCUCAGCCUGCACUCCAGAUCUGGCCAUGCUCUCAGUUACUGUUCAGAGUAUUCACCGCAGCCAGGAAAUAUUCCCAGCCCAACGCUAAAAGCGACCUUCAGCCAAACAGGGGGUUUCAAUCUGGGCCAAUUUCACAUGGAUUUAGCCCUUUGUCUUUUGCUUCUUUGUACAUCCUUUGGAAGUCUUUAAAUCGAGGGGCACAGCCUAACCUGGCUUCCCCAAAGUGCAUGCGUCCCGUGAAGAGGAAGUCUCCAUCUCCUGGUCUCACCCCACACUCCAGCAGGGUCUUUAUUUGUCCUCGCCAGUUCCCACUCUCCCCCGUGAGCUGAAAGACUUUGCUCUUCUGCCUGUACAGUUUGUUGACGCCAACGUGAAUUAUGGAUUCUUGCUCUUCUGCCUCAUUUGUUACAUCUUGAAUGGAGCCUCUGAUCACGAAAUCACUAGUGCAGACGGCCAAGAGGACCUCUGUGUCACUGCAUGGUCGGCAUGGAGCAGAAACUGUGUGCAAAUCAGAUGCAAUCCCCCUGCUCAUCAGUUCGUACUGGAAGCCUGUGAUCUUCCUGCUAAUGUCCUGCUGGGGGGUGGCCUCGACAAACAGCCCCCCCUGGUCGUAGCCAAAGCAGUACACCUUGCUGGGGCUGCGCUCUCCAUCUCGGACCAAGAGUUUGAGUUCUCCAGUUUUUUCCAAAUAAAUAUUUGCUCCUGCAGAGUCCUUGAAGGGCUUUAUGCAAACAGUCAAAUGUUUGUAGGAGGCAGGUGAAGUGUUGGGUCGCAGGUUGACUAUGAGCGCUCCCGUGGGAUACAUCCACUCUAUGGAGCCUUCGGAACAGCGGAGGUAGACCUGUUCAACAUCCUUCUUGUGAGACUCGUGAGUUAAGCCACUCCCCUUCCAGUUGCACAGGUCGCUGGAGUACUGCGCCUCGGCGCCGCCGCCCAGCAGCAGCCGCAGCCCCAGGAGCAGCGGCAGGAGCCCGGCGGCCGGGGCGCUCCGCAUGGUCCCCCCGCCGCGACCCCCGGCCCAGGGCCGAACGCUGCGCGGGAGCGGUGCGGAGCGAUGCGCGCAGCCCCCGUGGGCUCGCCUACAUGGCGGGCAGCGCAGAGCGGAACGGAGCGGUUACCCCAUGCCCGGCUCCACGCUGCGCCGCUUCGGCUCCGCUCUGAAGUUUGCAGCAGCUCGGCUGCGAGCUCCCAGCUGAGGGGCGGGAGCGGGCCGGC